GAUGAACGCUGGCGGCGUGCUUAACACAUGCAAGUCGAACGAUUAAACUGGCUUCGGCCAGAUAUAGAGUGGCGAACGGGUGAGUAACACGUGACCAACCUGCCCUGCGCUCCGGGACAACCGCUGGAAACGGCGGCUAAUACCGGAUGCUCCGGGGAGGCCCCAUGGCCUCCCCGGGAAAGCCUUAACGGCGCGGGAUGGGGUCGCGGCCCAUUAGGUAGACGGCGGGGUAACGGCCCACCGUGCCCGCGAUGGGUAGCCGGACUGAGAGGUCGACCGGCCACAUUGGGACUGAGAUACGGCCCAGACUCCUACGGGAGGCAGCAGUGGGGAAUUUUGCGCAAUGGGGGCAACCCUGACGCAGCAACGCCGCGUGCGGGACGAAGGCCUUCGGGUUGUAAACCGCUUUCAGCAGGGAAGACUU
rnacentral:rRNA from 1 species